CAUUCCCUACAAAAUGAAUGCUUCAUCUCCCAGCAUGCUAGGCACCUAAGGCAGACCACCAGCGGGGGUGGGGGGUGGGGCACCCACUAGAGAGACAACUUUCUGUGAUGGUUUCCAAAGUGGCACGUCCUUCCUUCCUGUUCUCUUGCAGACCCAAGGAAGGGAGACACAAUGCUAGCUUGGGUUCCCAUAGGAUCGAGCAAGGGAGAGAGGUGUUCCACCAGAGAUGCAAAUGAGGAAGGUAAUUAAGACAAGAUGCCCAUGUGCCUGGAAUAGCAUUAGCAAGCGGCUGCCAUUAGCCCCACACAAAGAGAGGAGAUGAAUUGCCUGGACUGCACCUCUGUAUUUCCUGAAGCUAUCGUGUACUUGAACCACAGAACAUGGAGAAAUCAAGCUGCACUGGCCCUGAGGCUCCACCCUUACUGGCUGGCUUUCAGAAGGCGCUACGACGCAUGACGCUACCGGGGAGACAGGUCAUCGUCAGUCAGACUCCGACGUGAGCCCUGUGAACUACGAAGUGACUAGCCUGACAGGAUAUGUCUAUUGGUACAAUGGUGGCAUUAAUGUUAUGGCAGCCACUUUAAGAAUGGAAUUAAGGCCUGCACUAAGAGAUGGGACCCAUCUCUGGCACCAUUAACCAGUCAUGUGAUCUGCCGGGAAUUCCCAGCCUGACAACUGCCUGGCCAUUCCACUGUGUGGGAGACAUUACUCCCAUUAUACUUACAAGGUGCUGUUUUCCUGAUUGACUGCUGUUCGCCUCUACUUUGUACACACUGACUGAGAUAGCUUACAAAGGCCUGAGGUAGAUCGUGGAUGCCACCAGCAAGAAAAUAACCUUGGGGAGAUUACAGUAAACACUGGAGAACCCAGAAGAAAAGCGAAUGUCUAGAUGUUAAAGGUGAAGGUGUUAUACAGGGUACACAGACUUCAAAAAAAGCUCUCGGGUUAGGGAGAUGGCUCGGUCAGUAAGUGUUUACAGCUCAACUGUGAGUUUGAUUCCUGAAAUCCACAUAAAAGGCCAGGUACCGUGACACGCAUUAUGUAAUUCCAGUUCUGGGGAGGCAGAGACAGGCCGAUGCCUGGGUCUGUCUGGCUAGGCAGGCUAAUAAUGGGUGAGCCCCAGAUCCAAGAGAGAGACACUGAACCCUCCCCUCCUUACCCCCCCCCAAAAAAAAACCCCAGGAUAAACAGAACCUGAGGUUGAUCUCUAGCCUAGACAUGCACGUGGACUUCCACGCAACAAGCUGUGCACCUCUUUACACAACGAAGUGUUAGUGGCCACCAUAUGCAAAACAGAAAAAAAAAA